AUACCGCUUAAGCCAUCUUCCCGGCGCACGAAAGCAAAUUAUCUUAUCAAGCAGAUAAUUGAACAUGCAGUAAAGUCGUGACCAUUCAAGAUGUCUAGAGUAUAUAUACUGGCUAACCCCGGGGGUGCCUCACUGUCGAAAAAUCCCCAAUAAAGGAGCUGACGACAGACACUUUGUUUGGUUUCUUUGAAGGUGCUGCCCGAUCCCCAGCUGAUCCACAAGGCUAAUUCUAGAUAUUGUGACGGUUUGAUUACGAAAGUUUCAAACCAUCAUCAAUGGUGGAACAUCCGGGUAACGAAGAUGUUGACUGAUUCUUCCUGAUCCUGGGCCAACUGCAACAAACUGACGUCAGAGGCUGAUGCUUUGAUGACUCUCUUGUUGAAAACUUCUUUCUUCUUAGUCAUAUCCAGUCUGUCACCCCCAGGGAGAGUGUGGAACCACAGCUUGCUCGCACCUCCAAGGUAAAAUGGCAUGAGACGACACUUCUUCUCAUCAUUGUAAGAGAAAACAUAAGAACAAUUAAUGAAGUCAUCCCACCAUGUUUGGGCAUUUUUAGUUCCUGAGAACUGUGGUAGUUUCAUGUGAGGUAUGAGUGUUGACAUCUGGCUCGUCGAGGGUACUGAUGAAGAUGGUGAUGUAGAUGUAGAUGUAGACGAGGAGGCUGCUGUUGUGGAAGUUAUUGAUGUGGUUGUAGCAGGCGACACAAGGAUCGGCGUUGAUAUUGACUGUGAGACUGAAGCUUAAUGAAGCAAGCAGGCCAGGAGGGGCCUUGGCUCAAGCCUUCGCAGCUUCUCUCGGUAACUUGAAGAGGUGUAUCUGUCAUCUAGAAUUCCAGAUCACCAUUUAUGAUGCUUUAAAACUUUCGUAUUCAAACCGUCACAAUAUCUAGAUUUAGCCUUGUGGGAUCUGCUCGGGAUCGGGCAGCACCUUCAAAGAAACCAAACAAAGUGUCUGUAGCCAGCUCCUUCAUUGGGGAUAUCUCGACAGUCAUCAAUUAACAUAUAAAACAAGAAAUCUCACUUAUGUUUAAGGUUUACAUAUAAAGUACAAAGUCAUAUAGAACAUUUACAGUUUCCAUAAAAGGGAGCAGUUAACACACUAGUGGGUGGUAUUAAACAAUAAUUAUGUAUACUGAAUGUACGUUUGACGAAGUACACAUGCGCUAAGUUACAAAACAACCAAUUACUAAUAACAAUAUUUAAAGUCAGUCUGUGAAGAUACCUAUGAACAAAGUUUCGACACAGUAGUGUGUGGUAUUAACAGUCAGUCUGUGAAGAUGCCUAUGAACAAAGUUUCGACACAGCUGUGUGUGGUAUUAACAGAUAGGAGGUUGUUAUGUCCUCACUUAAACGUUGUUCCCUGUCGACAUGCAACGUUGCCAGAAAGACGUUGUUGGAAUAAUGGUGGCGUAAGAAUACAGCUUUCGUAGUUGGCGAUUCGGCCACAGACUGUGGUCUCAAGGUGCAAUCUGGCAAUACAGUGUGCAGAUUUGGACGAGACCAAUUAUACACAACGAUAAGAUGCCGAUUCUAAAAUCAUAUUCAUAAUACCAUUUAUAUACACACAAGUCACCGUGUUGGAACCAUCUGCAUGCAACUAGAAUCUAGCUAUAAAAUCGGAGGAGCGGAUGUGAGGGGAGCCCGUUGGACGCUCGUGUUGUGUCAUGUUGGCUAUGUGAUGUCAUACGAGUAAGCAGAUGGUGUAUCUAUUUUAGACAUUGGUUGUAAAUACCUGUAAGCUACACCAUAUAUUCAAUUUCGGAGCAAAGAAGAUUCACGAGAUUGCAUCGGUUGACGUGAGGACCGCAUUUCAAUGGACUCGCCACUUCGUCCAAGGGGCGCCACUCUCAUUUACAACACAACGUUAAAUAUUGUAAGUAGACACGGCGAUGAAUAUUGUGAUGGUAUUUCGACAUCAUGUUUUGUUUGUUAAUGAUGCUCUGAAUCUCUUUAAUGCCAGGGCGGUGGAGUAGCCUAGUGGUUAAAGCGUUCGCUCGUCACACCGAAGACUAAGAUUCGCUUCCCCACAUGGAUACAAUUUUCUGAAGUCUAGUUCUUGUAGCCACAGCCGUGGAAUAUUGCUAAAAGCGGCGUAAAACAAUACUCACUUACUUCAUCAUGACGAUGCUUGCGCUACAUAAAUGCGAAAAUGAGUGUCCAUAUACUAUCUCUAUUUGAAACGUAUUUGUCCGUAAUAACAAAAGGUGUAUCUAUAUUAAACGCGUGAUGUCGUCAUGGGUGAGAAAUAAAAUCGUAUGUAAAAUAAUAUUAUAAAUAUUAUAUUCUAAGCUUUUAAGGUUAACGCAAAUAUUUGAAAAUAUUUACGAGUUAAGUUCACACGAUUGUGUUGCUAUAUGGCAGUUUAAGGUAUUGUCAACAGUGUUGUAGUGUAAUACAUUGUUUCUGUUGAGAUUCAGUAGAAGCUCAUAACAUUGUGAUUUGACAAUAAUUAGUUGUCAGUAAUGUAUUCUAAUCUUAUGUAAGCAGUGAUGUGGAAGUUACUACAUUUAGAUGCGUUUGGGAGUCAAGUGAAAUCUAGAAUGUUCCAGACUAAUCCAGCAUGGUGUAGAACUUUCCAGAAGAGGUUUAGAAUAUAUACGCGGGGUUAGAACACACCUCUCUCAUCUCACAUUACACCUCACAUUAUAUCAGGGGUCACGGGUGCACCAGUCGUCUAAGGCGCCGCCAUUCGCUGUGCAGAGUUGCGUUCCGUUGGCACUCCAGGCACCUAUGGUUGUGUUCAAAUCCUGGUUCGCACCAUACCCGGGCUCGUGGAUUUCACAGAAGUUAUAAACGUCUGAGACCUGCAUCACGUCGUGCUUUCCUCCCACAUUAAGCUGACAUGCCGUGAUAUAAUUGAAACACUGCUCACAGCGGCGUUAAACCAAACUCACUCACUCAUACUGCGAUUUUAAGUGCACUGCCAUUGAAUUUUGUACUGCCACUAAUGUGUACUGCCACUGAAAUUGCUGUGCAUUAUGUUCUUAUUGACUUGUAAACCUAUUUAUUCUUAUAAUACAAUUGUUAUUUGUA
rnacentral:lncRNA from 1 species